UACGGAGGGGGUUAGCGUUGUUCGGAAUUACUGGGCGUAAAGCGCACGUAGGCGGAUUGGUAAGUAUGGGGUGAAAUCCCGGGGCUCAACCCCGGAACUGCCUCAUAAACUAUCAGUCUUGAGUUCGAGAGAGGUGAGUGGAAUUCCGAGUGUAGAGGUGAAAGUCGUAGAUAUUCGGAAGAACACCAGUGGCGAAGGCGACUAACUGGACAAGUACUGACGCUGAGGUACGAAAGCGUGGGGAGCAAACAGG
rnacentral:rRNA from 1 species